GCCUGCCCCCUUUGGGAGCAAAGGCAUCUCAUCCUGAAGAGCCCAGAGUUGUGGAGACAGGAAUCUACAGAACACCUGAGUAGAUCACUGGGAGUAAUAGUCUCCAACAAACCAGACAAGCCAUUUUCCACUCACAGGAGUCCAUCUAGAGUCCAUCUCAGGCUAGUUUUCCUUUCACACAAAGUGAAUAUGACCAGGAAAGUUCCAGCGAAAGCAAACUCAGCGUUCAGUGGGAGAGAGACCUGGGAAGACUUGAUCAAAGGACUUCGGAAAACUAAGAAGUUUUGGAAUCAGAUCUUCCUAGUAAACAUUCACUAUCAUCUUUGAAAUAAAUUCAAAUAGAACUUAUCCCUAGGAUACCAGAUAGUUCUACUGCCAAGUGCCAUUCCAGAAUAUAUUUUGAAGUCAAAUAAAAAUAAUUUUAAACUUUCCGUUUAAGGUUACCCAUAGAUCUACUCCAUUUAGCACAAUAAUCAUGACGGCCAUAAUUAGGUCAAUGUGCACAGCUCCUUGUAACUCACUGGUUUGCUGGAAAGAUAGGCAAGAGGUUAUUUAUUUACUUUUUUAUUUUGGCUUGGUUUCGAUUAUUGGAGACUCUGAACUCAGCAAAUACAUCUAUAAAUGGGUUCAGUUCUUUGUGGAGGCAGGAACAAGACUUGAUUGGCCAUAGGGUCAUAACUGGAGGAAAGUAUCAUGACAUGAAGGGUAGCAGAAUACACCAUCCCCAAAUAUGACACUUUGGCCUAAGGAUUAUUUCGAGCUGAAGGCAAUUGAGAAGAAGCAGAUACAAGAAAAGUUCUCUGCCCUCCCUCUACUUGCCUAAAAGCAGGACAUAAAUUUGUAAAAGGGUACCCCCUUUCCUCUCUAUCAGUAAAGACAGAGGUUAAUCACCAGAGAUAACUCUAGACCCUAAUCAGCCCAGCACCAGAGGAAUCUACAUAACAACCUUUACUAACUAGCUUUUACCUUCCUUUAGUUCCCCUAUAUAUUUACC